rnacentral:rRNA from 1 species
CAAUAGCGUAUAUUAAAGUUGUUGCGGUUAAAAAGCUCGUAGUUGGAUUUCUGUCGAGGGAGAUCGGUCCGAUCUACGAUCGCGUAUCUGAUACUCGCUCGGCAUCCGGAAGUUUAAGGCUGUUGCUUUACUGCAAUAUCCAUAGGCUUCUCUUUUACUUUGAGGAAAUUAGAGUGUUCACGGCAGGCAAUCGCCCUGAAUACAUUAGCAUGGAAUAAUAAUAUAGGACUUCAGUUCUAUUUUGUUGGUUUCUAGAGCUGAGGUAAUGAUUAAUAGGGACAAUUGGGGGCAUUCGUAUUAUCACGUCAGAGGUGGAAUUCUUGGAUUGUGUUACGACGAACUACUGCGAAAGCAUUUGCCAAGGAUGUUUNCAUUG